AUGAGAAGCUUGCUUCUCUGAUGUUAGCGGCGGACGGGUGAGUAACACGUGGGUAACCUACCUAUAAGACUGGGAUAACUCCCGGGAAACCGGGGCUAAUACCGGAUAAUAUUUUGAACCGCAUGGUUCAAUAGUGAAAGACGGUUUCGGCUGUCACUUAUAGAUGGACCCGCGCCGUAUUAGCUAGUUGGUAAGGUAACGGCUUACCAAGGCGACGAUACGUAGCCGACCUGAGAGGGUGAUCGGCCACACUGGAACUGAGACACGGUCCAGACUCCUACGGGAGGCAGCAGUAGGGAAUCUUCCGCAAUGGGCGAAAGCCUGACGGAGCAACGCCGCGUGAGUGAUGAAGGUCUUCGGAUCGUAAAACUCUGUUGUUAGGGAAGAACAAAUUUGUUAGUAACUGAACAAGUCUUGACGGUACCUAACCAGAAAGCCACGGCUAACUACGUGCCAGCAGCCGCGGUAAUACGUAGGUGGCAAGCGUUAUCCGGAAUUAUUGGGCGUAAAGCGCGCGUAGGCGGUUUCUUAAGUCUGAUGUGAAAGCCCACGGCUCAACCGUGGAGGGUCAUUGGAAACUGGGAAACUUGAGUGCAGAAGAGGAGAGUGGAAUUCCAUGUGUAGCGGUGAAAUGCGCAGAGAUAUGGAGGAACACCAGUGGCGAAGGCGGCUCUCUGGUCUGUAACUGACGCUGAUGUGCGAAAGCGUGGGGAUCAAACAGGAUUAGAUACCCUGGUAGUCCACGCCGUAAACGAUGAGUGCUAAGUGUUAGGGGGUUUCCGCCCCUUAGUGCUGCAGCUAACGCAUUAAGCACUCCGCCUGGGGAGUACGACCGCAAGGUUGAAACUCAAAGGAAUUGACGGGGACCCGCACAAGCGGUGGAGCAUGUGGUUUAAUUCGAAGCAACGCGAAGAACCUUACCAAAUCUUGACAUCCUUUGACCGCUCUAGAGAUAGAGUCUUCCCCUUCGGGGGACAAAGUGACAGGUGGUGCAUGGUUGUCGUCAGCUCGUGUCGUGAGAUGUUGGGUUAAGUCCCGCAACGAGCGCAACCCUUAAGCUUAGUUGCCAUCAUUAAGUUGGGCACUCUAGGUUGACUGCCGGUGACAAACCGGAGGAAGGUGGGGAUGACGUCAAAUCAUCAUGCCCCUUAUGAUUUGGGCUACACACGUGCUACAAUGGAUAAUACAAAGGGCAGCGAAUCCGCGAGGCCAAGCAAAUCCCAUAAAAUUAUUCUCAGUUCGGAUUGUAGUCUGCAACUCGACUACAUGAAGCUGGAAUCGCUAGUAAUCGUAGAUCAGCAUGCUACGGUGAAUACGUUCCCGGGUCUUGUACACACCGCCCGUCACACCACGAGAGUUUGUAACACCCGAAGCCG
rnacentral:rRNA from 2 species